rnacentral:tRNA from 1 species
GGUCCUGUAGCUCAGUCAGGUUAAAGCGCCGGUCUUAUAAACCGGAGAUCGUGGGAUCGAAUCCCACCAGGACCA